rnacentral:rRNA from 1 species
GACGAACGCUGGCGGCGUGCCUAAUACAUGCAAGUUGAGCGCUGAGGGUUGGUACUUGUCCCAACUGGAUGAGCAGCGAACGGGUGAGUAACGCGUGGGGAAUCUGCCUUUGAGCGGGGGACAACAUUUGGAAACGAAUGCUAAUACCGCAUAAAAACUUUAAACACAAGUUUUAAGUUUGAAAGAUGCAAUUGCAUCACUCAAAGAUGAUCCCGCGUUGUAUUAGCUAGUUGGUGAGGUAAAGGCUCACCAAGGCGAUGAUACAUAGCCGACCUGAGAGGGUGAUCGGCCACAUUGGGACUGAGACACGGCCCAAACUCCUACGGGAGGCAGCAGUAGGGAAUCUUCGGCAAUGGACGAAAGUCUGACCGAGCAACGCCGCGUGAGUGAAGAAGGUUGUCGGAUCGUAAAACUCUGUUGGUAGAGAAGAACGUUGGUGAGAGUGGAAAGCUCAUCAAGUGACGGUAACUACCCAGAAAGGGACGGCUAACUACGUG